UACAGAGGGUGCGAGCGUUGUUCGGAAUUAUUGGGCGUAAAGGGCGCGUAGGCGGCGCGGUAAGUCACCUGUGAAAUCUCCUGGCUCAACUGGGAGGGUGCGGCGAAAACUGGAAUGCUAGAGGAUGGGAGAGGUAAGCGGAAUUCCUGGUGUAGCGGUGAAAUGCGUAGAUAUCAGGAGGAACACCUGUGGUGUAGACAGCUUACUGGACCAUUUCUGACGCUGAGACACGAAAGCGUGGGUAGCAAACAGG
rnacentral:rRNA from 1 species